rnacentral:misc_RNA from 1 species
UCGUACAAAAUGUGAGGGGCAUGUGAGGGCUGUCGCUGACUCAAUGUCGUGCACGCCCGAGUGUGUCCUCUCACAUAACAAUCCAUCUCACCCUUUGUGCAUCGCCGCGUGGGCACCCUUUGGGAUCAUCUCGGAGGGGGCUCGCGUUUUCACACAAACCCCCCUUUUAAAAGUGUAGAAUGACCUCAUUUAUGCGCUAACCCGCAAUCAAUAC